rnacentral:misc_RNA from 1 species
UCUGCGCCCCGGCCUGAACGGAGCUCUUUUUAUUUUUCCAAAGAAAAAUAAAAAAGCGGGAGUGGAGGACGGAUAAAGGC